rnacentral:rRNA from 1 species
UACGUAGGGGGCAAGCGUUGUCCGGAUUUAUUGGGCGUAAAGAGCGUGUAGGCGCCAGACAGGUCCGUUGUGAAAACUCGAGGCUCAACCUCGAGACGUCGACGGAAACCGUCUGGCUAGAGUCCGGAAGAGGAGUGUGGAAUUCCUGGUGUAGCGGUGAAAUGCGCAGAUAUCAGGAAGAACACCUAUGGCGAAGGCAGCACUCUGGGACGGUACUGACGCUGAGACGCGAAAGCGUGGGGAGCGAACAGG